GGCUCGGUAGCUUAGUUGGUGAAGCGCUCGUCUAGCAUACAAGAGUCGUGGGUUCAAAUCCUAGCCGAGCUC
rnacentral:tRNA from 1 species